rnacentral:rRNA from 1 species
UACGUAGGUGGCAAGCGUUGUCCGGAUUUACUGGGCGUAAAGAGCGCGCAGGCGGUCGUUUAAGUCGAAUGUGAAAGCCCCCGGCUCAACUGGGGAGGGUCAUUCGAUACUGAUCGACUUGAAGGCAGGAGAGAGAAGUGGAAUUCCCGGUGUAGUGGUGAAAUGCGUAGAUAUCGGGAGGAACACCGGUGGCGAAGGCGGGUCUCUGGGCCGUAACUGACGCUGAGGAGCGAAAGCGUGGGGAGCGAACAGG